AGAGAGAGAGAGAGAGAGAGAGAGAGAGAGAGAGAGAGAGAGAGAGAGAGAGAGAGAGAGAAUGAAUGUGCACUGCAUGAUGACUUUGUACUGCAACCUGCUCUAACUACAGUACAGAGGUCUUCCUGCCAUACCACAUAAAAUCCAAUCUUGCUUCAGCAAAGGUUGUUAUUUUUCACCUUUUCCCAGAAUGUGGCCUUUGAAUUUGGGUAACAUUUUGCUUUAGUUUAACUAAUAUUGUUAAUGAUUAUGCAUUUUGUAUUUAAAUCUUGAUCUAAGUCAGAACUUUCACUAAAUUAAUCAGCCUUUAAAGUUUUCAUUUUUUGUCUAGCCACUAAAGUAUCUUUCAUUUGUUCAGCAAAUAACUAAAUUUAGAUAUUAAUCUAUAUAAAGUGCACCUAAACAGCUUUUUUUAGCAUUUAUUUGUGUCGAAACAUUCAGUGAUGAUGACUGCUUACUAUUAUGUUUAAAUAUUUAUACCACAAACUUUCAUCACCUUAAGUGAUGAUUUUGUUUAUUUUUUCAGUGUAUGUCAGCUAAUGUAGUUUGUCAGGGUAGUUUAAGCAAACUAACAAGUUAUUUCUAGACUCAACGGAUAUAAUUUAGAGGUUAAUAUGGACCAAGGUAUAGCUACACGUUGGACAUCUGAGUGGGAAAGGAGGACAAUGAAUGAAAAGCAAGUUAUCAAUGCAGCUGGCGGCUGUAGGGAGGGAUACUACAAAGGAUCUUUCAAGCUGAAUGCUUGCCGCACUGGAAUGUGCCAAUCCACUGCAUCAUGCUGCUGUGCAAGAGUUCUGAAUUUUGGAGGUGGCUGUAAAGAUGAGCUUGUUUCACGUCUCAUCCCAACCAAAGUGGUGCAGUAAGGUAUUACAAGAAGCAAGUGACUUGUAGCAAACUGGAAGAAAAGCAACGGAGGACCCUACACCAGCUUCUGUCCCUGCAAUCUGCAAUGGACUUUAUUUGUUGGACGAAUGUGACAGCACCCCAGCAGCCCAGUGUUUACAAGAUCCUGUCUAUCAUUCACAGUCCCCACCUGCUCUUCAUCCCCAGACAAUGAUACCCCAAUCAGCUGAUUUCCUUUUACUCGUGGAUUGAGGAUCAUGCUGGCCUGGAUCAGACAAGGAGGAUAGAGGCGACAGAAAGAAGAGAGAGGAAGAAUUUGAGAGUCCAACCAAAGAGAGAGUGGGAGGAAAUUUGCAGGCAACAGGCAGCAGACUGCUACAGCACCUUUCUACAAAUGAUAUCCCCCCAUUAGAACUGCAAAUGCUGGCCCCCUCAUAGAGCAAGCAACCAAGAGAGCCCCAGUGCACCUCCUUCAACAACUGCAGCUCCUACCUUGCCACCAGAGGGUGCAGCGACCCCGUUAGUACCCCUCCACAUAAAACAAUUGCCCAAAACUCACCCCCCCUUCCCCCAGAUGCGACUUUUCACAUUUUUGGGGCAUUCAUGGUGGAUCUGCCUUAGUUACCCAGACAGAAACAAUCAAUCCAGAUGAGGAUGUGUCUUGCCAUGGACACACAAAGGAUCCUAGAGCACACACGAUACACACUCCCAGACACAGGAUCUGGGAUUACUGGAUUAAGUGUCAACAAAGUCUUGGAUGCCCUUCAAGAACACAUCAAGAGUCUUCACAAUGAGAAUCAAUGUCCAAGGGAGCUGCUCACCUGGGAGUCUUUUUCAGACUUUUACAUUAGACUUGAGAACAAUGCGGAGGAAGCAGAUGUCUGUCCUGGUAAAUCUUCAGUUUGUGAGCAAACCCAGAUGAAGACGAUUACCCUCAUGGGAAUCUGGGAUGAAGAACCGACCAAGAAACUCAAUGCCUAGUAUAUGUUUGCACCUAUAAGGCCACCAGGAAGGCCACUUCUCAAAUUACAGGAAGCAGAGGAAACAUGGAAAGGGUGCCAGCUCACCCAUAUCAUACUAUCACAUUAGGGUUACAUGCCAGCAUGUAACCACAUGCCCUGAACAUCUGCAGUAACCGCGCCCACAAGGGGGCAUUCAAAGGCACAGAGGAGCUCUGCCAGACAGGUCCAGUGCCCUCACUACAACACAAGGAUAUUAUGACAAGUGCUGCCAGAUGAAGACGAGGGAAGCCAAACAAGGUGCCACUUACAGUGCUGAGCCUACACCACCCUCUCCAGGCAAGAACUCAAGCUCCCAUCAGAUGAGAAGCCCCUAUUCUAUCAAGACACCACAGCCAAUUUCUGUUAACGUCUCAUAUGGUAACAUCACAUCCACAAUUCAGAUUCAGAUGCUGCCAGACAGGUGCUGAUGUCUGCUAUAGACCCUCAUUAUCUUGACCUUCUGCACAUUCCUACAAGAGCAUGUUCAGAGCCUGUCAAAACCAGAGACUUCUUUCUACAAGAGAUCAAGGACAUGGCGAUCUCCAAGGAAAGAACUGAAGAAAGCCACACUAAAGCCAAUGGACCGCCAAUACUUUCCACGAGAGUUCAAGGAUGUGCUGAUCUCACAGGAAGAACUGAAGAAAGCCACACUAAAGCUGAUGGAAGGACCGCCAAUCAUCUUAAGAAAGAUGCUGUACCUUUCACCAUCAAUGCACCUCGCUAGAUAGUAAAUGCCCUCCAGGAACUGUGUCAAGGCAGAGCUCGAGUUCAUGGUAGAUCAAGGUAUUAUUAAGCCUGCCAGUGACAAACCUUCAGGCUGGUGUUGCCGGUGUUGCCCACUUGUUCCUAAAGACAAAGGUGUUUGAAUCACUGUUGACUUCAAGAACUAGUAAGGAAGAUGGUACUAGUAAGGAAAGAUGCUGGACCUUUCUCCAUCAAUACACUUCGCCAGAUGUCAUAUGUCUUCCAGGAACAAGUCAAGCAGAGCUCGAGUUAUUGGUAGAUCAGGGCAUUAUUAAGCCCAUGAGUGACAAACCUUCAGAUUGGUGUUGCCGGUUGCCCGCUCAUCGUAGUACCUAACGACAAAGGUGUUCGAAUCACCGUUGACUUCAAGAACUUGAAAAGUAAAACACCCAUCAAGCCCUCGCCUUUGCCUAGCAUCCACAGCAUUGAUUCAAUUGCUAAGUUUUUUUUACCACUGCAGGUAUCCUGCACAGGGUGCUGGCAAAUGCACCUUGCAGAGGUCCAAUAGGAUUUGUGGCCACAAGAGACGCCAACUGCUUCCAAGAAGAAUUGCGUGAAGGUAGAGGAUGACAUCCUGCUGCUCAACGAUGAUUUCUCCUUCCAUCUAAGCCAAAUCCAUGAGAUGUUGACAAGGUGCUGCAAGUUUGGCAUGACACUUAACAAGGACAAGUUUGUGGUUGCUGGCCUCCAGUGUUUCCCUCUACUGAUUUUGAAUCUCGAAAGACUGCAUUUUAGUGGACCCCAACAAAGUAGCAGAAAUAAAGGACUUUCCUACACCAACAACUUGAUGGAUCUUUGUUCAUUCACAUGGUUAGUGAACCAAUGAUCCGACUUUUUGCCUGAGAUAGCUAAUGCAGCUGAACCUCUCAGACCCUUUAUGAGCCCCAAGUGUGCAUUAGUAUGGAGUAUGGACUGUGGAUCAGGACAGAGCAUUUUGCCCACCAGCUCUUCCCUCCUCCUUCGAUCCUGCCCUCCCAGUUAUUCUACAUACUUGGAUAUGCCCUUAUACAGGACCACACCACAGUAAUGGAAGACUCCAAUAGUGUGGCUUGUUUCCUUGCAGACACCGAGAUGGGCUACGCCACAAUCGCAUGGGAGAUGUUAGCCAUUGCUAGUGGCUCGUUUCCUCGCAGACACUAAGAUGUGCUAUGCCACAAUCGCAUGGGAGAUGUUAGCCGUUACCAAUGUCCGAAUGCAAACUGUACCUGAUAGGCCUCCAACCUUCUAUGCUGAUGACAGACCAUCGCCUACUGGUGCCAAUAAUAAACCAUUGCUCUGGAUGCAGUUGAAGCCAAUAACAAACUAUUACUCUGGAUGCAGUUGAGAAUCCCAUUUGCAAUGUCUCAAGGAGAAAAUCUCACCAUCUGUUUUACCUGUUCACAGCCGUGCGGCAUGCUGACAAGCAGCUUGGGAUACCCAAUGCCCUGUCAGCUAGCUCAUACAUCAGGACCAUCGCCACUGCUCAUGUAGCAGCCCAACUAAGUCAGUCUUUGAGAAUGAAGAGCACAUGUGAGAUGUCUACCUUGACUUCUUGUGCAAGGCCUUAAACCUCCUCUUCCUCUUCUCCCUACAUGUUGGAAGAAAUUUCAGGCAUGAGGAAGGCGAUAAAAAUUAAUGAUAAGUACGUACACAGAGCGUUUCUUCCCUUUCCUGAGUCUUGUCAGUUUUCAACAACAAAGUACCAAGGUGACAGACAGAUCCCUCCUUUGUGGUAGUCAGGAAGCUAGGGUAGCUGAAGACAUAGGAGAUGGCACAACAGGAGAGGAAGGUGCUGUGGAGACAGCUCCUCCUAUGCCAGGUUGUCCAGAAAUACUGCAAAAGACAGACUAGCAAGGCAACAUUUUCCUAGUACCUGGAAUGUCCAAUUCAGACAAACUGGAGGGUGAAACAGCUGUUGAUGGCACACCACAAAUAGCUGUCUUCCUUCAAAGAGAGGGCAUGGCCAGACUUCUCUGUUCAAGUGCAUACUCUCUGAAGAGGGGUAGCAGGCAGAAGGAAAGAAAAAACAAUCUGAAGAAGCCAGCAAUAACAGGCGGAGGGACUGGAAUGGAAGAAUAAAAAAAAAAAAAAAAAAAAACUGUAGAAGCCAGCAAUAACAGGCAGGUGGAUAGGAAUGGGAAGA